rnacentral:lncRNA from 1 species
UUAAUUCUAAAAAUGAUUCAAAUCAAGCAGAUCUAUAAAUGUAUGAAAAUCUUGAAAAUGGACGACCUAGAUAAUGUGUUGCAAGAUGUAUUAUUGUUAGGACUUGAAAUCUCUUUUUUUCUCCAUAUCUAUACAUCUCGAUGUCGAGAUGGUUAAUUAGAUAUUUUUCUAACAUCAAAACAACCGUUUUGAAAGAUUUUAACAUUUACUACUUUAGGGUUCAAUAAAUGCAAAAAUAUUCAAUGUAAUGGAAAUUUAAGAAUUAGGGUUUACAAUUUUGUACUCUAUUUUUCAUUUUUGGUUGUUUUGAAGGGAUUUACAAUAUGUAAACAACCAUCAAAAUAUUGCACGAAAAUAUAAAAAAAUGAAUAUUUAGAUUUUAGAAUUGUUUAACUUUCUGAAUAUUUAUUUAAUUUUGCUUGUUUGGUUUUGGAAACCAUCACUAGUUUCUUUCACAUUAUUAC